AUACUUACCUGGCAAGGGAGACACCAUGAUCAAGAAGGCAGUUCACCCAGGGCAAGGCUCAUUCCAUUGCACUCACGUCUGUGCUGACCCCAGUGAAUUUCCCAAAUGUGGAAAUCUCGAUUGCAUAAUUUCUGGUAGUGGGGGACUGCAUUCACGCUCUCCCCUG
rnacentral:snRNA from 8 species